AUUGAACGCUGGCGGCAUGCCUUACACAUGCAAGUCGAACGGUAACGCGGGGCAACCUGGCGACGAGUGGCGAACGGGUGAGUAAUAUAUCGGAACGUGCCCAGUAGUGGGGGAUAGCCCGGCGAAAGCCGGAUUAAUACCGCAUGAGACCUGAGGGUGAAAGCGGGGGAUCGCAAGACCUCGCGCUAUUGGAGCGGCCGAUAUCAGAUUAGGUAGUUGGUGGGGUAAAGGCCUACCAAGCCGACGAUCUGUAGCUGGUCUGAGAGGACGACCAGCCACACUGGGACUGAGACACGGCCCAGACUCCUACGGGAGGCAGCAGUGGGGAAUUUUGGACAAUGGGCGCAAGCCUGAUCCAGCCAUGCCGCGUGCGGGAAGAAGGCCUUCGGGUUGUAAACCGCUUUUGUCAGGGAAGAAAUCUUCUGGGUUAAUACCUCGGGAGGAUGACGGUACCUGAAGAAUAAGCACCGGCUAACCACGUG
rnacentral:rRNA from 1 species